UGGCGAACGGGUGAGUAACGCGUAAACAACCUGCCUCAUAGAUGGGGACAACACCGCGAAAGUGGUGCUAAUACCGAAUGUUUUAACUUUGCUGCAUGGCAGAGUUAAUAAAGGUGGCCUCUAAAUUAUGCUACCGUUAUGAGAGGGGUUUGCGUCUGAUUAGCUAGUUGGCGGGGUAAUGGCCCACCAAGGCGACGAUCAGUAGCCGGUCUGAGAGGAUGAACGGCCACACUGGGACUGAGACACGGCCCAGACUCCUACGGGAGGCAGCAGUGGGGAAUCUUCCGCAAUGGACGAAAGUCUGACGGAGCAACGCCGCGUGAGUGAAGAAGGUUUUCGGAUCGUAAAGCUCUGUCUUUUGGGACGAAUGUGCUGUAGGUGAAUAAUCUGUAGCAAUGACGGUACUAAAGGAGGAAGCCACGGCUAACUACGUGCCAGCAGCCGCGGUAAUACGUAGGUGGCGAGCGUUGUCCGGAAUUAUUGGGCGUAAAGGGCGCGUAGGCGGAUCUGUAAGUCUGACUUAAAAGUGCAGGGCUCAACCCUGUGAGGGGUCAGAAACUAUAGAUCUUGAGUGCAGGAGAGGAAAGUGGAAUUCCCAGUGUAGCGGUGAAAUGCGUAGAUAUUGGGAGGAACACCAGUGGCGAAGGCGACUUUCUGGACUGUGUCUGACGCUGAGGCGCGAAAGCCAGGGGAGUGAACGGGAUUAGAUACCCCGGUAAUCCUGGCCGUAAACGAUGGGUACUAGGUGUAGGAGGUAUCGACCCCUUCUGUGCCGGAGUUAACGCAAUAAGUACCCCGCCUGGGGAGUACGGC
rnacentral:rRNA from 1 species